UACGUAGGGUGCAGGCGUUAAUCGGAAUUACUGGGCGUAAAGCGUGCGUAGACGGUUAUUUAAGUCGGAUGUGAAAGCCCCGGGCUCAACCUGGGAAUUGCAUUCGAGACUGAAUAGCUAGGGUGCGGUAGAGGGAAGCGGAAUUUCCGGUGUAGCGGUGAAAUGCGUAGAUAUCGGAAGGAACAUCAGUGGCGAAAGCGGCUUCCUGGACCAGCACCGACGUUCAGGCACGAAAGCGUGGGGAGCAAACAGG
rnacentral:rRNA from 1 species